UACGGGGGGGGCAAGCGUUGUUCGGAAUUACUGGGCGUAAAGGGCUCGUAGGCGGCCAACUAAGUCAGACGUGAAAUCCCUCGGCUUAACUGGGGAACUGCGUCUGAUACUGGUUGGCUUGAGUGCAGGAGAGGAACGCGGAAUUCCAGGUGUAGCGGUGAAAUGCGUAGAUAUCUGGAGGAACACCGGUGGCGAAGGCGGCGUUCUGGACUGCAACUGACACUAAGGAACGAAAGCCAGGGGAGCAAACGGG
rnacentral:rRNA from 1 species